rnacentral:misc_RNA from 1 species
UUACCCAAGCAUGCACUAAGCUUGCGCUCUCCUUGUACCAUCACCUAGGUGAGCCAAGUGAAUGCUUUCAACAACACUGCUAAAAUCAACCCAAAUUCAGUCCCAAGCUAGAAACCCAUUCUGAAAGAUGAGAUUUCAGUACAGAACAUGAGUUCAACAUAAGAAUCAUCAAACUUCAUAAAAAAUAUAGAGAAUCCCAAUGUUCUCAUGCAGAUAAAAUUUCAAAAUCUUGUUGGUGUAGCCAAGACUAACAUGAAAUGGCAGUUUUUCAGCCUAAUUUUUCUUUUUUCCACAUAUAUACUCAUAUGACUUAACAAAUGCCUUUCUGAAAAACUUACUUUCAAGAAGCAUGCCCUGAAAAAGAUCGAAUAUCAACAUCUAAUUGUGAAACCAACUACGCACAAAAACCCAAACCAACAAAGAAAAUCACUUCAAUACCAAAUAACACUAAGUCAACAAUCCAAAGCAUCGAAUCACCAAACCAUCAUAUCUCCUCAAGUCCAAGAGAGAUCAACUUCUUAACAAAGAGGGAGAAUAAGGCAGAGGAUUAAAAUUUUUGGUAGUUAGUAGCCAACAAGAAGGAUUCAGGAUUCGUUAAUAACAAAAUUUAAUUCCAAUACCGAACAUCAAUUCAGUUAAUUCGAAAGGAAUGCAAAUUAAAAUAAAAAUGCAAUUAUCACAAAA